rnacentral:rRNA from 1 species
CUCAGUUCGGAUUGGAGUCUGCAACCCGACUCCAUGAAGCUGGAUUCGCUAGUAAUCGCGCAUCAGCCACGGCGCGGUGAAUACGUUCCCGGGCCUUGUACACACCGCCCGUCAAGCCAUGGGAGCCGGGGGUACCUGAAGUGCGUGACCGCAAGGAGUGCCCUAAGGUAAAACCGGUGACUGGGGCUAAGUCGUAACAAGGUACC